rnacentral:rRNA from 1 species
UUAAAAAGCUCGUAGUUGAAUUUCGGGGUUAGUAGGUUGGUCAUGCCUCUGGUAUGUACUGGUCUCACCGAUUCCUCCUUCCUGAUGAACCUUAAUGCCAUUUAUUUGGUGUUUUGGGGAAUUUGGACUGUUACUUUGAAAAAAUUAGAGUGUUUAAAGCAAGCUAACGCUUGAAUACAUUAGCAUGGAAUAAUGAAAUAGGACGUUCGAUCCUAUUUUGUUGGUUUCUAGGAUUGACGUAAUGAUUAAUAGGGAUAGUUGGGGG